GCCAACAACCUGCAUGAUUAUUUUUAAAUAAUAUAAACCAAUUCUUACCGUUUGUUGCAAAUCAAAAACUUGAGAAUCGGGUCUGAUUUGGCUCUGAUUUAUAUAUAGGUCUGGAUAAGAACAAAGAAGGAAAAGAUACGCAAUGUUUUUCAUAUAUGUGUCUUGUUUUGUUCGCUUCGAACCUGCAACCCAUUUGUGUCAGCUGGCCAGGGAUCUGAUUCAAACCUGCAACAAAUUUGUGUAACUUGCACAUACGCAUUCUUCUUCAUACAUACUAAUUUUCUAUUAUCACUCAUUCAAUUUACUUCUGCAUCUCUAUCAAUUGAAAUAUUAUGAAAGACUUUUUGUAACACACUUAAGGUGCAUUCUGCACCAUUGCUCGGGCUGCAAAUAUUUGAGGAAAAUUGGAAAACGUGUACUGUAAGUUUGAGAGAAAUUCUUAUUCUAUUACCUUGGCUAGUUCUUUGACCCCCCCGUACCCUUUCCAUUAUGUACAUGUCUUGCUAUCAUAGUUUUCCAGAAUGCUCAGUCCCUUUUUUGCUUUACAUUUUUUUAAGGACAAUGUCUUCCCCUAUUCCUUGUCAUCAAACGGAUAUACAUUGACAAAGGUUAAGUUCUCAGUCACUUUGGAUUUCUUAUUUCGAUGGCCUGUGGAGACAAGGUCUUAGCAUGAUCUAUGUGAUUUUUGCCAAGCACGUAGUCAUGUGGGUUUCCAAUAUCAGAGAAAUUUCGAGUUCCCAUUGUAGAAUUAUUUUUGGUUAUCAGUGAUUUAAGACAUUUUUUUGUAGUGAUUUAAGACACUGAAAUCAGAUUGCAAUCUUGGUGAAGAUGCUUAAACACUGAAACAAACUACUAAAGAAGAAGAAUAUACCUGAAU